rnacentral:rRNA from 1 species
AUUGAACGCUGGCGGCAGGCCUAACACAUGCAAGUCGAACGAGUGGCGGACGGGUGAGUAAUGUCUGGGAAACUGCCCGAUGGAGGGGGAUAACUACUGGAAACGGUAGCUAAUACCGCAUACCAUCGGAUGUGCCCAGAUGGGAUUAGCUAGUAGGGGGGGUAACGGCUCACCUAGGCGACGAUCCCUAGCUGGUCUGAGAGGAUGACCAGCCACUCGGGAACUGAGACACGGUCCAGACUCCAACGGGGGGCAGCAGUGGGAAAUAUUGCACAAUGGGCGCAAGCCGGAGACAGCCAUGCCGCGUAUAUGAAGAAGGCCUUCGGGUUGUAAAGUACUUUAAGCGAGGAGGCGUUACUCGCAGAAGAAGCACCGGCUAACUCCGUGCCAGCAGCCGCGGUAAUUC